CAGCAGCCGCGGUAAUACGAAGGGUGCAAGCGUUACUCGGAAUUACUGGGCGUAAAGCGUGCGUAGGUGGUGGUUUAAGUCCGUUGUGAAAGCCCUGGGCUCAACCUGGGAAUUGCAGUGGAUACUGGGUCACUAGAGUGUGGUAGAGGAUAGUGGAAUUUCCGGUGUAUCAGUGAAAUGCGUAGAGAUCGGAAGGAACAUCUGUGGCGAAGGCGACUAUCUGGGCCAACACUGACACUGAGGCACGAAAGCGUGGGGAGCAAACAGGAUUAGAUACCCGCGUAGUCCCUGUCUCUUAUAC
rnacentral:rRNA from 1 species